UAUCUGUGUGGGGCUGAUGAAAUGAAUAUGCGUAUCAAUUCCUCCUGCCGUGAGGAUCAGACCUUCACCGGCAAUGAUCUCCGUUCCGGCUCCCACGAUCAGUUCCGGGCUUACCCCGUCCAUGAUAUCCGGAUUUCCCGCCUUACCUAUCCCGCAGAUCCUGCCGUCCUUGAUUCCCACAUCCGCUUUUAUGAUCCCGGUGUGAUCGAUGAUCACCGCAUUUGUGAUCACAGUAUCAGGACAUUCUUCGUCGGAGACAUUACACGCCUGACCCAUGCCGUCGCG
rnacentral:sRNA from 1 species